rnacentral:rRNA from 1 species
AUACAGAGGCGGCGAGCGUUGUUCGGAUUUACUGGGCGUAAAGGGUGCGUAGGCGGUUCUGUGUGUCGGAUGUGAAAUCUCACAGCUCAACUGUGGAAUUGCAUUCGAAACUACGGGGCUGGAGUACAGGAGAGGAGAGCGGAAUUCUCGGUGUAGCGGUGAAAUGCGUAGAUAUCGAGAGGAACACCGGUGGCGAAGGCGGCUCUCUGGACUGAUACUGACGCUGAGGCACGAAAGCUGGGGGAGCAAACAGGAUUAGAUACCCUGGUAGUCCCAGCCCUAAACGGUGUGCACUUGGUGUGGGAGGGAUUGUCCCUUCCCGCGCCGGAGCUAACGCGUUAAGUGCACCGCCUGGGGAGUACGGUCGCAAGAUUAAA